CGCCCUCGUGGCGGGCGGAGCGCGGGUGGGAGGCGACGGUGUUGGGGAACUCGGUGUGUGACUUUGUUCUCUGCUCAGCAGGCAGAAAGCAAGGAGCUCGGCGGUGGUUUCGCAGCGUGGACACAUGCGGCGGGAGGUAACAAGGCUUGCUGGGGACGUUGAGGUAGAGGAUUCGUGGAGAAAGUUGCUUUUUUGCAGAAAAUGGUAAGUAUUUAGUUUUUACUAUUUUUUUAACGUAGAGGGAGAGCCUGUGCAUCAGAGUCAAAGCCUGAGACUUUGGUGAAGAGCACUAAAUUGCAAACACUUUCUUGGGUUUGGAGGCAGGUUCAGCAGCCCACAAUUCCUCUCAUUUAGAGGAGAAUAAUCCAAGUCUUUCGAGCACACAUUUUGAAGCAGCUGGAUGCAGGUACUAAGUAGACGACGUAUCUUGAAUUACUAAAAGCGCUGGUUGCGUCAGAGUAAUGUCAAAGUGCUUACAGUGCAGGUAGUGAUAUGUAGAACCUACUGCAGUGAAGGCACUUGUAGCAUUAUGUUGACAACUGCCUCGGGAGAUCUUGCAGGACUUCAGAGAUUGGAAAGGUACAGUGUGGUGGUGUCAAGUGCUUUUUGUACUAAGGUGCAUCUAGUGCAGAUAGUGAAGUAGAUUAGCAUCUACUGCCCUAAGUGCUCCUUCUGGCAUAAGAAGUUAUGUUUUCAUCCAGUCACUCAGGUUAAGACUGUAGAUGUUCCAGUAGUUUUCUGCUUUGCAGUCUUCUGUUAGUUUUGCAUAGUUGCACUACAAGAAGAAUGUAGUUGUGCAAAUCUAUGCAAAACUGAUGGUGGCCUGUUAUAAUCUACAUCAAGGAGUCUGAAUGAUUUCUGCUGAUCAUGGGAUAUUUGGUGGCCUUUCUUACUUUUAACAGCAAUCUAGUGAAUAACAGCUUGUGUAGCACUAAAGUGCUUAUAGUGCAGGUAGUGUUCACUAAUCUACUGCAUUAUAAGCACUUAAAGUACUGCUAGCUGUAGAACUACACAUUCAGCAUGUCUCGGAGUUUAUUUGUUGUUUAAUUGAACACUGUUCUCUGGUUAGUUUUGCAGGUUUGCAUCCAGCUGUAUGAUACUCUGCUGUGCAAAUCCAUGCAAAACUGACUGUGGCAGUGACAAGUCAGUCAGUAAAUGCGGACAAAUUGUACCCCUUUCUACACAGGUUGGGAUCAGUUGCAAUGCUGUGUGUUUCUGUGGUAUUGCACUUGUCCCGGCCUGUUGAGGUUGGUGGGGAUAGAGGCUGAAACACUUCAUAGCUUUAAGGAAUUUCUCCCUCCUUCACUGAUCCGGGAAACCUUAAAACCUUAAGUUUCUUCUUGAAAAAAGUGUCAUGUAACUUUCUGUGUAACUAGACUUUCAUUUUCUGUACCUGGCUUGUUUGUAUGCAUUGGAUUUGUUGCUGAUAAUAAGUACUUGCUGAAGUCCUUGAGUGUGAGUUUUGUUUUUUUAUUUAAAAAAGGCUGUUAUGAGUUUUCUAUUAAACUGAGGUGGAUACUAUUUUACAAUUUCUUCUCCAUUAAUUUGUUGGGAAGAAAUGGGUUGUAAGCAUCAAAAAAUCCUGAUGAAAAUUUUUACUUGUUUGCUGUAAGCUUGUUUCUCAAAAUCAAAUUACAUGAAGGAUUCUUCA